rnacentral:rRNA from 1 species
GGCGAACGCUGGCGGCGUGCUUAACACAUGCAAGUCGAGCGGUAAGGCCCUUUCGGGGGUACACGAGCGGCGAACGGGUGAGUAACACGUGGGUGACCUGCCCUUAGCUCUGGGAUAAGCCUGGGAAACUGGGUCUAAUACCGGAUAUGACUCCAUGACGCAUGUUGUGGGGUGGAAAGCCUUGUGCGGCUAGGGAUGGGCCCGCGGCCUAUCAGCUUGUUGGUGGGGUGAUGGCCACCAAGGCGACGACGGGUAGCCGGCCUGAGAGGGCGACCGGCCACACUGGGGACUGAGACACGGCCCAGACUCCUACGGGAGGCAGCAGUGGGGAAUCUUGCGCAAUGGCGAAAGCCUGACGCAGCGACGCCGCGUGGGGAUGACGGCCUCGGUUGUAACGUAC